GAUCGUGUGCAGAAACAUCGUCACGUGACAGGAACAGCUGAUAGGAAAUGUUGCAGCUGCACUUUUUGGGGGGAAUUUACUGAGGGGAAGGUUUCCCCAGAGAACAAGUGAUCAGCUUCAUAUAUCGUGCUGUCGACGCUGCAGCCCGCGCUCCUCUGGCGUUGUGUUCAGGAGCCUCCAUCUGGUCCCUGCAGGUUGCACAUCCUGUCAGCUUCCAGAGUCCUGCAGCUGGAGACAGGACAUCGCUGAACACAUAGGAAACGCAUGACGGAGGGAAGCACUGCAGAGAGGAGGCUUCUCACCUGGCAGGAAGUAAAGAGACACACGUGGAUGUAAGAUGGAGAGUUCAGAGCAGCUGGACCGUGAAACUGAAGUAAAUGACCAAUAACAGAUUUACAUUAAUUCCACAAUCCCAUGUUUAACACUUCCCGUGCGAAAUGCAAUAAACAUGAAUUAUAAACAAA